CAAUAGCGUAUAUUAAAGUUGUUGCAGUUAAAAAGCUCGUAGUUGGAUUUGCGGCGUAUGGUGUGUUCCGGGCACUUGUUGUCUGAGUAACUUGCCAUUGCCAUCCUUGGGUGGAACCUGUGUGGCAUUAGGUUGUCGUGCAGGGGAUGCCCAUCGUUUACUGUGAAAAAAUUAGAGUGUUCAAAGCAGGCUUAUGCCGUUGAAUAUAUUAGCAUGGAAUAAUAAGAUAGGACUUUUUUGCUAUUUUGUUGGUUUGCGCGAGAAGGUAAUGAUUAAUAGGGAUAGUUGGGGGUAUUCGUAUUCCAUUGUCAGAGGUGAAAUUCUUGGAUUUUUGGAAGACGAACUACUGCGAAAGCAUUUACCAAGGAUGUUUUCAUUAA
rnacentral:rRNA from 1 species